rnacentral:rRNA from 1 species
GACGAACGCUGGCGGCGUGCUUAACACAUGCAAGUCGAACGGAAAGGCCCUGCUUUUGUGGGGUGCUCGAGUGGCGAACGGGUGAGUAACACGUGAGUAACCUGCCCUUGACUUUGGGAUAACUUCAGGAAACUGGGGCUAAUACCGGAUAGGAGCUCCUGCUGCAUGGUGGGGGUUGGAAAGUUUCGGCGGUUGGGGAUGGACUCGCGGCUUAUCAGCUUGUUGGUGGGGUAGUGGCUUACCAAGGCUUUGACGGGUAGCCGGCCUGAGAGGGUGACCGGCCACAUUGGGACGGAGAUACGGCCCAGCCUCCUCGGGGGGGCAGCGGGGGGGAAUAUUGCACAGGGGGCGGAAGCCUGAUGCAGCAACGCCGCGUGCGGGAUGACGGCCUUCGGUUUGUAAACCGCUUCCGCCGGUGACGAAGCGUGAGGGACGGUAAUGGGUAAAGAAGCCCCGGCUAACUACGUG